CGGGAUGUGGCGCAGUCCGGUAGCGCGUUCGUCUGGGGGGCGAAAGGCCGUUGGUUCAAGUCCAAUCAUCCCGACCA
rnacentral:tRNA from 1 species